CAUGACGACAUUGCGAAAUCACACAAUUUCAAGUCAAAAUGACCGCCUUUUGUUGAGCGAGCGAUGUCCAUGAUUUCAACGUCCUGAAGAUGUUUUCGGAAGCGGACAACAUUCCUAAAGAAAUACCAGCGUGUUGGAGUCGUAUAACAGCAUGAUGACAAAUAAUGUUCCAAAAAGAAUGGCAUUCUAGUAUCCUUACUUCAUCAUGGGAGUGUCGUUUGUUGCAAUCGACCACAACAUGCAGUUGUCAAGAAAAUCAAAACUAACCAAAGCAGGAAAAGAGCAAGGCCAUAGAAAAUAUUAAAAAAGGUCUCAAAAAUUUCAUGCCGAAAUUGUGAAAGGAAAGUCUUUCAGUUAUUUCUCAUUCCUUGUAGCGAAAAUGCUGUACAAGCGCUCCAUGUAUGAGGGCAGUUUCACAUUGCCUUUUGAUAGAAUGAAUGAAUUUGAUCCAAAGGAAAUUGCCCCCAUCAUUGCAAUAAUGGAACUAUGUCACAGCAUGCUAAAUUUUUCUACAUCGGAAACUGUUGCUAAAAUGUCCAUGUAUUUAUUAAAAUUUUGUACAAAUGAACUAAGGGCUUUCCCUUUUACAUGGAAAAGUUUGAACAAACCAAAAUUGUAUUAUAUUCAAGUCCUAAUAGGUGCACAAGCAGGGAAAAAGUCCCGUUUCAAAUGGGAUUUGUCAUUUUAGACAUCUACAGCAAGCUGAUGGACUGAAUUUAUUAUAAUAAUAAUAAAGGAAAGCUAGCAAUAGUUUUGGAUUACAUCAGUUUUCAACAAAUAUAAAUCCAGUACUUAUUAUGUGCAGAAAAAAGUAGGUUUCUUUGAAUGUAUACAAAUAGCAGGUAACAAUAUCAGCAUAAAUAUGUCGUGAUGAAGUUCAUUUUCUGUUCACGACUUGGCCAUUUAAACGGGUAUCAGGUGUCCAGUGUCCAUUUUUAGUAAUGCUCUGCCAGACUACCUAAUUGAUGAUCAAAACCCAGGUAAAAUUGGGUAAGGAAGGGAAUAUGUGUUGCUGAUCAGGCUGAUAAUAUGCAGUACGCAUGAGUGACAGCUGUUCACAUGUCAGUUAUUUCUAAAUGCCAUGUAUCUCCCAUCAGGAAAAGGGUAUGCUUGUCGAAUCAUCCUUACCACACAGGCAGGCAAGACGCGUCUGUUCCCUCUACCCAAUUUCUCCUAUUUCCAGAGAGAAAACUGACGUUAAGCUGCUUUGCGGAAGCUUUCCAUGGAAAAAUUGAAUUCAUCAGCUCUGAUAUCACAGCGUGCCUUUAUGCAGACUUCAAAAAUGUCUCUAUCCAAGCAAAUGUUAUUGAGGGUUCUUAAAGAAGUGAUGCACUCGCGUUUCUUGCAACAGACAUUUUCUUGCUCUGUUUCCAUUGGUACACAAACGCGACACCGGCACCAUGGAAGGUCAGUUAGAGGUGUAGGCUCUUCGGGUAUGUUGUCUGCAACUAGCUGUUUAGCAAAGUUUAAACUGCCCAUGCCCAUACUCAAUAAUUUAACCAGCAAGUCAUCAUUGUAGGGUUGUCCAGGAAUUGAAUGAAUUCCUAGCAAGAAAUUUUAAAUAUAUUCUUAUAAAGAUAAUUGAAUCUACCAUAGAGUGAAUGCCAGCCCAGUGGCUGAAAUGAGUACAUAUAUCAAUUUAACUUUUCACUAGUACUUGCAAAGUAAAGUAGAUUAUUAAAACUCUCUUGCAGUAAAACAACUGAAUUAACGAGUACAUUUUAUAAUCUUAAAUUAUCUAAAGUACAGUAAUUUACAAAUAUAACAGUGGUACUAUCAAUUGAGUCACAAAAAAUAUUUAAAUGUAAAAAAGUCCUCUACUCUCUUUGUCGUGCAGGCCUGCAUGUUUACAAGUAUAACAGUGAUACUAUCAAUUGAGUCACAUAAAAUAUGUAAAUGUAAAAAAGUCCUCUACUCUCUUUGUCCUGCAGGCCUGAAUGUUCCGGAAAAGAUAAUACUUUUGUGUACUCUUCUAUCAUCUAACCUAUCUAGUUUACCUAAUAGUAAUGCAUGAGCUGUAUGGCUUCGGACAGAUAGGCAGGAAUAUCCUGCCAGACCGGUACUGCAUACUCCAAAACUGGCCGAACUGAGAAAAGAUAUAUCCUCAAUAUGUUGGGUUGGCACACCCUGGCUCUGGGCAGAACUCUAAGGGAAUAUAACUUCUUACAAGCCUUCUUAAUAAUGUAAUCAACAUGAGAGUUCCUUUUCAGGUCAUUGUGCAAAAUAACUCCUAAGAUCUUAUAGGUAUUGACACUCUUGAUGACAGUGCCGCCAAUUAUUAUGGGAUUAAUGAGACAAUUGGAGUUGCGUAGGAAAUUAAUAUGCAUUUCUUUACACUUAGUUGGAUUGAGUCUCAUAUUAUGAGCAAUGGCAAACUUGUGAAUGUCUGAGGCCACAAUAUUAAGUAAACUAGGGGAGUUCUUUGGAAUUAUUUCGAGCACACUGGUAUCAUCGACGUAUUUGAUGCGCAGCCGCCAGUCAGAGAGCAGUCUGUUUGUCAUCACCGUAAAGAGGAUUACACCCAAUUUAGUUUUUUGGGGCACUCCUUUUAGUGUCAGCCAAUCAGACAAAGUACUUCCAUUUCUAACUGCUUCCUUCCGGUAUGUCAAGAAUGCUGUUAUCCAAGAUAAAAGGACUGGAUGAACUUCAAGAUCAGCGAGUUCCUGCAUCAAUAUUGAGUGAUCAAUCAAAUCAAACCCCUUAGAAAAAUCUGCGAAGAAUAUCCGAGCCGACGCCUCACCACCAUCAACUGCUUCGUAGAUCGCUUGAAGCAUGUAUAGAAGGGCAUCUGUCGUAGAGUGCCCCUACGGGAGAAUUGACAGGGGUCGAUAUUGCCUUCCAAUUGGGAUAGAAGUCUGGAACAGGUAAAGCCCUCCAUAACCUUUGCCAUUGUACAAGUAAGAGAUAUAGGUCUUAGAUCUUGCUCAAUAAGUCUGGGGCGAGACACCUUAGGGAAAGGAGUAAAUACAGAAGAUUUCAGAAGAGCUGGUAUGUACCCCGCCCUUAGAGACUGGUUGUAAAUGUCACAAACAAGGGGGGCUAACUCUAGGACAAACUCUUACAGAACCCGGUUAGGUAUGUUAUCAGGGCCGGCUGUUUUGGAUGUCUGAGGCGAUGACAAGGACUUGUAUGCAUCAAACUCUGAAAUUAAUAAUUCAUCAGGAUUCACAUGUUUGACAUCUGCAACCUUUUUCUGAUAGUAGUGAUGUUUUGCUGUUUUUAUUGCAACUUGAACUUUGUUUCUCCAAUGACGAUAGGCAUUAGAGUCCUUUCCGUGUCUAGAAAAUGCGGAUUGGCGUUUACUGAUCCACAAUUUGAUCUCACUGGUUAUCCAAGGGCGGUCAGUGGGAUGUUUCUUUAUGGUCUUCUGCAGGAGAAACAUACAAAUGGCACCAUCAAGCUCUGACAUGAACAGUUGGAACUUUUGCUCGCACGAGGAGGCAUUAAGAAUUGGGGUCCAGUCCUUUUGAGUUAUCCAUCGUCCGAGAGCACGCCACGCACUAUCUCGCAGAUCACGCACAACAAUUUUCUCUGUUGUUUGGGUAGUGAGAGGGGCGGAUACUGGUUUAGCUAAGAUAGUGUAAUGAUCCCAUGAUCCGACCUCCGGAAGCUGUGAUAGAACAAAUAGCUUGGCUCUGUUAGUAAAAAACCAGUCCAAUGAGCCAGUAUCGCGGGUUUUGAAAGAUACAAGUUGUUUCAGUUGGUUUACCCCGGUUAUGCAUUGUACUCAAAACCCAGUUGAAGUGGUGUUAAAAUCACCAGUUAACACAACAAUUGCUUAGGUGUUAUCAACAGCAGCGCAUCAAGGUUCCUUUGUAUAUGAUCACGAAGAAUAACAUUCUCGGGUUCACGGUUGCUAGUCGAGUGAUAGAUAACACCUAAAACAAUAGAUGUUAUUUGCCUUGGCAAACUAUGAGGUCUCAUUGAAAUC